GUGUCCGUUAGCUCAGUUGGUAGAGCGCCGGUUAUUGAAUCAACUCGACGGAGGUCGCUGGUUCGAGUCCUGUUCGGGCUACA